UACGUAGGGUGCGAGCGUUAAUCGGAAUUACUGGGCGUAAAGUGUGCGCAGGCGGCCGCGCAAGUCGAGUGUGAAAGCCCCGAGCUUAACUUGGGAAUUGCGCUCGAAACUACGUUGCUGGAGUGUGGCAGAGGAAGGUGGAAUUCCACGUGUAGCGGUGAAAUGCGUAGAGAUGUGGAGGAACACCAAUGGCGAAGGCAGCCUUCUGGGCCAACACUGACGCUCAUGCACGAAAGCUAGGGGAGCAAACAGG
rnacentral:rRNA from 1 species